ensembl:lncRNA
UGGCUGUACCUGUGGCAUGCAGAAGUUCCCAGGCCAGGGAUCAAACCUGAGCCAUGGCAGGGACAACGACAAACCCCUGACAGCUGGUUCACCAGGUCAUUCCUUGCUUUUCAUUCUCAGGGAGAUAUUUUGAUUUCUAUUUCAUGCUUGAAGGCCUUUAUGUGUAACACACCAUAGUGAAAGUCCAUGAAAACAGAAGAUCAAAUCUGCCUUGUCUAACACAAAAGCCACUUCCCUCCUGGGACUCCUGUCUGCACUAACUUUGUGACCUCUGACUGUUCCUUAUUUUCUGGUUGCUCACUGAUCAAGACUGAAUUCACUUUUAGCCAGCCAUUUUAAGUUGUAGCCUACUAACUGGUCAGAAGCAGAAGAUGACAGGGUCUGUCAGGCAUGUGUCUGAGCCCCUUCCAUGGAGAUUCUAGAACUCCAAGAGGAAUGAGAAUGCAAACGUAACUUUUCAUGAAGGAAAAAAAUAAAAAUUAAGGAGAAAGAACCUGCCUGAUGAGCUAUUAAGGUUCAUAAAGCCAUGCCAAUGACAACGAGGAGAUGGUUUGGUGAAAAACUGGCAAUGGAUUAGAACAGAUUCGGAAAUAAACAACAACAAACGUGUAAUCUAUUCAGGGAGGAAGGAGUGUUUCAAGUCUAUAGACAGCACUGGACAGUCAGUGAACCCAGGGUGGGCAAUCCCUACCUCUCUCUUCCUCCCAGAAUAAGUCCUAGGUGGGUAAAAAUAAACAGAAAUUAAAAACCCUGGGAGAAUGUGUGCCAACUGUGGGGAGAGCCUCUAAAAGCACAAGCAGAGACAUUUGAAGACUGUGGUUUGAAGGUCAUAAAAAUAAAAUGUUUACAGCAAAAUCGCUUAUAAACAAAACUGAAAGGUAAAUGUGGAACAAAAGUUAACAACACAAAAGCUUAUUAAUGGUGAAAACGGUAAAUUUUAUGUUCUGUUUUUUUGAACCACAACUAAACAUGUUAAUAUCCCUAUUUAAAAAGAAACAAUUAUGAUGUAUGAAUAAGAAAAGCAUCUGAUUUAAAACACUGAACUAGCUAAAUAAAAAUAAAUAUAAGCAAACGUCCCUGGUAAGGGAAGAAAUGAAAUAAGAAUAAGGAGAUAGCUCCUGUACUCAACAGUCUGGCCGAGAUGAAAAAUCAGGGUGAUAUGACCUCAUGUAUAAGCAGUAACCCACCUGAGACCUCAGACUAAGAAGACCCUCCUUAUGCAGAAUGGGGCGGGGGUAGGUAUUGAGAGGUUAGGACUUGGCCAUAUGUUUUUCAAGGUCACCAUUCAACCCAGGACAGAUGACAUCUUAUUGAAAAUGCUAUCGAGGUGCUUCUGUACAGGCAGAACAGACAGAUGGAGAGGGAGGUGCAGUCAUCAGGAGAUUGAGGUUUUCAUAGACUUUAGGUUUCAGAUUACUUUUUUUGUUUUUCUUUCAGGGCCACACCUUGGGCAUAUGGAAGUUCCCAGGCUAAGGGCUGAAUCGGAGCUGUAGCUGCCAGCCUAUACCACAGCCACAGUCACAGCAAUGCCAGCUCCGAGCUGCAUCUGCUACACUGCAGUUCACCGCAAUCAGCGAGCAUCUCUGGCCAUCGGUCAUGACCUGAGAGGUGCCAUCUCCCCUGGGCCUGGGUUUUCUCAUCUGUGACGUGGAGGCCAGAGCAUACUAGAC